UUUAUUCCUUGAGAAAAAGAAUGGAGUAAAACCCUAGCAGCUAUGAAGUAAAACCCAAGGGUUGUGCAGAGCGGAAGCGACAAGAUCGCUCGGAGAUCGGAGUCAGAGACGGAAACAAUGACGAUUGAUGGGACGUCGGUGGUGAAGGUGGCGGAGAUUGAAGGGAGAGGGAGAGGUAUGGUGGCGUCUCAGCUGCUGAGAGCUGGUCAAGUUGUACUCCGAGACUCGCCUAUUCUCCUCUACUCAGCUCUUCCCUUUAUCAAACAACCGCAAGACCACUUCCCAAAUUCCUUGUUCUGCGACCAUUGUUUCAAGCUCUUAUGCUUACCACAAUCAUCGGUGACACAGUGUUCUUGCUGCUCUCACCAUGUAUUCUGCAGUCCUAAUUGCCUAACCCUUGCACAGGCCUCCUCUCACUCUCCAUGGGUUUGCCAUUCCAUGACUCGUCUACGAAGCUGCUGCUCCGCUUUUCUCAAUCAGCCUCCUGAACGCCAAAUCCAAGCCCGAUUCCUGAUCGCCGCCUUCAAUCUCGCCCUCGUCUCUCCUUCUGAUUUCCAGAUUUUGCUCUCUCUUCAUGGCUUGGAUUCGCCUUCCGACGCUGCUACAACUCAUUUCCUGCAUUCACUCAUCUCCUCACUCUGCAUUUCUCAGAUGCAAGGAGGAGGAGAAUUCCCUUCCUUCUCGCUGGAACUCACGGCUGCUCUACUGGCCAAGGAUAAGCUCAAUGCUUUCGGCUUGAUGGAACCUUUUUCCUUUCCCGAUCAGCAAGGUCAAGGGCAGCGCUCUGUUCGGGCUUACGGUAUUUACCCGAUGGCUUCUUUCUUCAACCAUGAUUGUCUUCCAAAUGCUUGUAGAUUUGACUACGUUGACUCUGCCACUGACCACAAUACUGAUAUCAUCAUUAGGAUGAUCCAUGAUGUUUCUCAAGGUAGGGAGAUCUGUUUGAGUUAUUUCCCUGUUAAUCUCGGGUAUUCUAGCCGACAGAAGAGGUUGCUUGGGGACUAUGGCUUCACCUGUGACUGUGACCGCUGCAAGGUUGAAGCAAACUGGUCAGAUGACGAAAACGACGACCAAGAGGGAAUAGCGGAGGAGGUGAUGGAUGAAGAUGAGGAUGAAGACCAACAAAUGGCGGCGGAGGAUGGACCCGUAGGCGGGGACUCUGAUUUUCCUCACGCUUAUUUUUUCUUGAGAUACAUGUGUAACCGAGAAAAUUGCUGGGGCACUCUGGCACCUUUGCCUCCAUCUGAUGCCACCCCCUCCAGUUUCCUUGAAUGCAACGUCUGUGGCAACCUUAAGCAAGAAGAAGAUAUUGAUGGUGAUCAAGGAGACGGCAACUCCUCUAUGGAUGACUGACCCCUGCUGGACUCGCACCAAAAUUGGAGUUCAAACUGUUGUGCCAAUUGGAAGAAAUUAGGAAUGAUGCCUAUGAGAAUUCAAGGAUUUGCAAAGAGAAGACAAGCUUUUCAUGAUCAAUUAAUUUCCAGGAAGCAAUUUUUAAUAGGCUGAAAUUAAGAGCUUGGACACCAAUAAAAUUUUCAAAGUCAAUGGUCAUCGAUUGAAACCUUUUUAUGAGGGGUUACCUACACAAAAUGUCGAAGAAUCACACUGAGCAAUCUUGAAGAGGGCACCUAAAAGAAUUGACAAUG